rnacentral:tRNA from 2 species
GCCUCAGUAGCUCAGUGGUAGAGCGCGUCAUUGGUAAUGACGAGGUCGCGAGUUCAACUCUCGUCUGAGGCU